rnacentral:lncRNA from 1 species
GUUUGGAAUAGCGGAGGUGCAACCAAUCCAGAUUCAUUGUGCUAUCUCGACCUAACAGGUGGUCUUUUGGUUGAGGGUGGGCACUUGGCUCUCAGGGAUUGGCUCUGAAACCUCAGUGGUAAGGCGUCUUCCAGAGCAGCGGCGCCCCCUGGUGGCACGCGGUAGGAUGGGCGGCAAAGAAGCACUCGGCGUGGGCGGGGCGGGUGGGGGUCGCAAGGCCACUUCUCUCCUUCCUGCAGGUUCUCAGAGAUGGAAGGUGUCUUAGAGGCGGUGAGACCAACUGCCCACACAGUGUGGUCGCCCAUCUAUGCCACACCCAAAAAUGGUCAGUGUCAGCUGGAUCCACUCCACAAUUUGGUCAGCUGUGUUUCCAAGGAGCCCUUCUUGUACUGAGUGGUUUCUCCUUGUAGCUCUCAGCCAUGGGUCCUAGUUCCGCCAUUUGAAGCCGCGCAUAGCAAAUGUGGCCCUUCUCCGUAUUCUCUCAGAUGUUUGAGGGCAGCAUUAGACAUUUCUUCUUCCGGCUCUCUUUCAGCCGGCCCCUCCAGACGAUGGCCAUUCCUGUUGCCUUGGUCCGCAGGAACGAUGGGUUAUGCAUGAACUUUGUAGAACAUGGCCUUGUCUUCACCAACGCGGAGGAGAGCCCGUUCGGUUCCAGAGAGGAUGCUGCCUCAUCUCGUCUCUAAAAGAGGAGGAAGGGGAGCAGGUCCCUUCACGUUCUCUGGUCUCAGCUGAGAACUCUCCCUGGAAGUAGCGGGCCGUGAAAUGUUUCACAAGGUAGCAUCUCCCUCUAGUGGCCACCAUGGUCUAUUUCAAGAUGCUUUCCUCCCUUCCCCUGGCCCUCGCUUCUCAAGGUUUUUUUUUUUUU